rfam:Rhizobium gallicum bv. gallicum R602, complete genome.
ACAAAACAGGCAGGGAGAUUAAAUUCCUGUCGAAUUCGCGGUCAAGUCUUGGGAGGAUCAGAUCUUAGGCGCGCUCGUCGCAGCCCCGGCAACGGUUACAGAUCACGCGAUACUUAAAACAAGGCUUUCAGCCUUGUUUUUUUUU